rnacentral:tRNA from 1 species
GCCCAGGGUAGCUUAGUGGACAUGGCAUCUGCCCGGUAAGCGGAACAUUGUGGGUUCGAUUCCCAUCCCCCCUGGACA